AGUGAACGCUGGCGGUAGGCCUAACACAUGCAAGUCGAACGGCAGCACAGUAAGAGCUUGCUCUUACGGGUGGCGAGUGGCGGACGGGUGAGGAAUACAUCGGAAUCUACUUUUUCGUGGGGGUUCACGUAGGGAAACUUACGCUAAUACCGCAUACGACCUACGGGUGAAAGCAGUGGAUCUUCGGACCUUGCGCGAUUGAAUGAGCCGAUGUCGGAUUAGCUAGUUGGCGGGGUAAAGGCCCACCAAGGCGACGAUCCGUAGCUGGUCUGAGAGGAUGAUCGGCCACACUGGAACUGAGACACGGUCCAGACUCCUACGGGAGGCAGCAGUGGGGAAUAUUGGACAAUGGGCGCAAGCCUGAUCCAGCCAUACCGCGUGGGUGAAGAAGGCCUUCGGGUUGUAAAGCCCUUUUGUUGGGAAAGAAAAGCAGCAGGUUAAUACCCCGCUGUUCUGACGGUACCCAAAGAAUAAGCACCGGCUAACUUCGUG
rnacentral:rRNA from 1 species